AUCAUCCUGUCGAGGGAAUUAGGUUAUCCUCGUCAUUAUUGACAGAAUAGUCAAACACUGACUAGCAAAAAGUGUAGUGAAUUUUCUCAUCUUCACCUUAAUCCUGAGAAAUUUUUGAAAGCUCUAUAUACAUAUUUACUUACAUGCAUGCUCUAUCUAUUUGAAAAAAAAAUGUUUGGGCAAUCAGUCUGUCAAUAGAGUUGAGAAACUUGAUUUGGAAAACAAUUUCCACUUUCUUUAGUUCUUGUAUGCUACAUGCAUAACAAAUGCUUAGUAUACACCAGGUGACAAUAAUUCCCUCCUACAGGAAUUAUGAGUUGCCUGAAUGAAAACUAUCGUUCAAAAAAGACCUGAAAACAUAUAACAGGGGAAACUGUGAAAAAGAGACACCAGUGUUGAAUACUAGGUAGUUUGAGAGAAAACUAUUUUUGUGCCUCUGAGAGAGGUGAGGUGCUUUGUUAGCAUUCAAAUCACAUAAUUAAAGGUGGAAAGGAUUCGAAAAGUAUGAUCACAUGGAGAGCAAUUCAAAAAUAAAAGUCCUCUACCAUCUGUCUUUUGUUAUCUCUUAACCAAAGUUGGUGCAACCGAAUUUCUUGUUGAAUCAGUCACCUGAUAGUUAACCAUACAAUUCAUUAGUCUCCCACAGAGUGGAGUUCCAAGGAAGACUGUUCUUUUGCUCAACUAGGCCUCUUCCUAUACUAGAGGCCCUGCUGUCUGUAAUGUAUUCUAAAAAAAAGUUCAUAUUGUACCACUUCCAAUGAAUAUAACAUUCUCUUGAAUCCCUAGAUGGGCCAACCAAAUGGCAGGUUUGCUCAAUAAAGUCGGUGUAAGUUGAAAAAUUCAAAUGUGAGAUUGAUACUACUGUUGCGCUGUCAGUUUGUAGUUUUCCAUUUUCCUUUUACUUGUUUAUUAUAUUUCCCAUUCUGUUGGGGUGGAUGCUUUUGAUUAUCGUUUUCAUUACAGAAAAUAAAAUUUUCUUUGUUAUUCAUGAAAUAUAUUACCAGCAUUCUUGGUAUACCCUGCUAAUUUGUGAAAACCAUAGGAUGCAUCCACUUCCUUCAGCCAUCAUUAAGUGUCACAGUUGAAAUCUACUUUAUAAGUCUUUUAACCAAACCAGGUAAAAAAUGUUAUUCAUGAGCAAUGGUCCAGAAAAAUAUGCUAACUGUCUCUUAGAAGGAACUAAAUGAGCUACCUUGCAUCUAUGAAAAGGUCUGCAGAACCCUACACAUUGAUAAGCCUACAUUGUGCUACAGUUAUUGAAAUGUAUAAUAAGAUAAGAAAUGAUUUAUAAAGCGAAAAAGGCUGGAAGAUAUAGCCUUUGAUAGAGCAGAAUCAUGAAACCUAAAAUAGGAUUCUCACAGAGGAGACCAGGUAGUUGUCAUAAGCAUGGUUCAAGGUUUUGCAAGAUUUUGGUAGGUUUGUUUUGCGGUUUCGCCAAGUAUCGAAAAAAUGACCUCCAAAAUGCAAGGGUGUAGCUAUAGGGAUGUGGAAAAAUUCACCAAGGUUCCUUAGAGAAACACCCACCAGUAGUUAUAGGCCCGAUACUUUUGAGACAGAUGUAGAGUAGAGACAGUUCCAGCAAGCUAGGGCAGAUAGUCGAGUCUCACAUCAGAUAGAGAGGGUUAGGGCUGCAGAGAUGGGAAAGGAGUUGGUGCCUCUAGCUCUAGAGCAACUGCACCAAAGACAAGGCUCACAGGGGAGAGGAGGAAGAAGCAGAGGCAAGGGGAUUUGCUUUUCAGGAGAUCAUAGAAUGUGAGGGCACCCCCACCAUAAGUACAAGUCCUAGAUGAUGAUCCCAUUGAGGUUCUUCAGCAGCAUCCAUCCGAUAUACAGGACUCAGGAUACCAAACAGAGAACUAUAAAGUAGGUCUAGGGUGGUUGAAAAGGGAAACUUGGUGAUACCAUUUCAAAGUUCUUUUAUAAUAGCAUCCCAACUAAUUCUGCUUAGAGAACAUACUACCAGGCCAUGCUUAACAUUGCAGGGAAGGCUGGCCCAGGAGUGAAGGGACCCAUUCUAUGGGAAUUGAUGAAUCUCUAUUUGUCCUAGCAAAAGGAGCUAGAUGAGGACAUUGGCACAUUGAGGGGGACAUGACAGAACUUGAUGUCUCACACUAGACAAGUCCAUCAUCAACUUCAUGUUCUAUUGUGAUGGUAAGACUAUAUUUUAAAAUCCUUGGAUAAUAUAUCCUUGGAUGCAUCCAAGGAGAAAAGGGAUGCAAAGUACAUCAACACAUUGCUGAAGGAUGUUGUGGAUGAGGUAGGGCCACAAAAUGUUGUCCAAGUGGUGACAGAUAAUGGGAGCAACAUUAAGAAGACAGGUGAGAGAUUGAUGAAUAGGCACAACAGCAAAAACCACGUCUUUUGGACACCAUAUGUAGCCUACUACAUUGAUCUCAUGCUUAAAGACAUGGGGAAGAGAUCCUUUGUGGUCAAGCGGGCAAGACAAGUGACCACAUUUGUCUACAACCAUGGAUACGCUUGAGAGAAAAGAGAGAGAGAGAAUUUGGUGAGGCCUAACAUUACUCGAUUUGCCACCAACUAUAUUACAUUAAAGAGUUUUAAGGCAAAAAAUGGUUGGUCUGAUGUCCAUGUUCACUUCAAAGGAAUGGUUUGGUUAAAGGGAGUUGGGUUCGCCACAAUGUAAGGCGGUAUGUGCUCCAUCUCUAAUGACCAAUUCUGACAGGACUUGAAGAAGGUCCUUAUAUUGGAACCAGUGGUAAAAGUAUUGAUUAUGGUAGACUCUGAGAAGAAGCUUACUAUGCCACAUUUCUUUGCUGCGAUGGAGAUGAUGAAGGAACACGUGACAAUAGUGUUACCUUGAGGUGGAAGGCGUACCUGAAAUUGUUGAGGACCAAGGGGAGAAGCACUCUAUGCAUCCCAUUGCUUUUUAUAUGUUUAGUUCAAGGUAUCACUACAAGCGUCGACUUGGGAUGGAUAAUCACUGAUAGUAGUGAAAAUGUGGUCUAAGUUGGAGCCUAAUGCAAGUAUACAGGCGAAAUGCAAUAAUAAGGUGAGACUUGGUAGUCAUUAACUUGUCCAAUAUUUAUAAGAAAUGUAAUUACUUGAUUUUGUAGUAAUGCGAGGUAUUGUUUGAAAUGAGUUUGGAUAAAGACCAUCUUGGAUGCCCUUGGGAGUUUCGAUCAUGCAGUCACAAAAUCUUCGAGAGAAGGCUCAGAACCUGGUUCUCUUCUCGAGAAAGAAGUGGGGUAUUUCUUUGCAAAAUUGUGCUCAAUUUCAUAUGUGGCAAUUCCGUCAAGAUCUCUUCGUUAUUGGGGGAAGAAUCCGCACGAAUCGGAUUUUUUGAGGAACGUAUCCAGAGAGAAUUGGAAAACUAGAAAAUAUCAAGAGAA